GAUCCCAUGACCCAUUGUAGAGCGGAAUGGUCUGUGACAACCGUGAAAAGCUUGUAUUCCAGGUAAUGUUGCCACUUCUCUAAGGCCCAUAUAACUGCCAGACACUCUUUUUCUGUUGCCGUGUAGUUGAUCUCUGCUCCAGUUAAUGUUCGACUGGCAUAUGCAAUAACCUCCUCCCUACCUAGUUCUUUUCUCUGCGAGAGAAUGGCACCCAGUCCAGUAUCACUGGCAUCUGUGUAAACAAUGAACGGGACUUGCAGAUCAGGGUGGCCGAGAAUGGGGGGCGAGGGAAUUGAGGGGCUCAGCAAUUUUAGAAAAAUUUGGCACAAACCGGUGGUACCAACCGGCUAAUCCCAAGAACCUCUGAACUUCCUUCAAGGUGUUGGGAGCAGGAAAGGCACGAAUGGCUUCAACUUUACUUGGAUCAGCUGUGAUGCCCUUAUUGCUCACCACGUGUCCUAGAAAGCUCCCCCAGGACUGUCUCCAUCAGCCUCUGGAAGGUAGCAG